AUAGAAUGGUGGCAUGAGCUCCACAUUUACCCAUUCCACCGCCAUCCAUUCCGUUUCUCUUGUUUCUUUCUUUGUCCUGUUUUAGUUCGGGAAAAUGAAAGAAAAAAAACGAAGAAGAGCAUAGAGGGAGAGAUAGAGAGUGAGACAGAGAGAGCUCAGGGGAAGAGGAAGUUGGGAAACAGAGCAAGAGAAAGCCGAUUCAUGAGGAAGAGGGGGACAGAGAAUGCUCUGUUCUUUCUUCAUGGAAUAACGAUAUAAAAAGAGAGAAAUAGAGAGAAGAGAGUUCAUGCUCGGGAGAGAACGAAGGAAGAGUCUAGCUUGCAUUCAAGUAAUGGGUAUGUUUAGGGAUCAAGGAGACCGAAUAUCUGGAUUUUGAAGGCUCGAACCAGUGAACUAUUCUAUUGGGAAUUGUCUAUAAGCUACUAGCUGUGCGGAAGAUCCACUUUUGAUAUGGGGAUCAGCUCAGAGGAUUAUGUAGGAACUUUAAUUAUUUGAUAGGCAUUCUUUUUUGUAUAUAAUGUACUUGAAAAAUGUUACAACCUGAAAUUUUUGUUUAGUUGGAUUACUGAUAUGGAUGAGAAAAAGUAAUCUCUUGAGAAAUAUAUCUAUAUAUAUGUUAAA